GUUGAUAAGGUUAAGUGAAUAAGGGCGCACGGUGGAUGCCUUGGCACUAGGAGCCGAUGAAGGACGGGACUAACACCGAUAUGCUUUGGGGAGCUGUACGUAAGCUAUGAUCCAGAGAUUUCCGAAUGGGGAAACCCAACAUCUUUUAUAGGAUGUUACGUUUGCGUGAAUACAUAGCGCAUUCGAGGUAGACGCAGAGAACUGAAACAUCUAAGUACCUGCAGGAAGAGAAAGAAAAUUCGAUUCCCUGAGUAGCGGCGAGCGAAACGGGAAAAGCCCAAACCAAUGAGCUUGCUCAUUGGGGUUGUAGGACUCCAAUAUGGUAGUUCUUUCAGAUAAUCGAAUGACUUGGAAAAGUCAGUCAAAGAGGGUAAAAACCCCGUAGAUGAAAUUUGGAAGGCACCUAGGAGGAUCCUGAGUACGGCGGAACACGAGGAAUUCCGUCGGAAUCCGGGAGGACCAUCUCCCAAGGCUAAAUACUCCCUAGUGACCGAUAGUGAACCAGUACCGUGAGGGAAAGGUGAAAAGCACCCCGGAAGGGGAGUGAAAUAGAACCUGAAACCGUGUGCCUACAACAAGUCAAAGCCCGUUAAUGGGUGAUGGCGUGCCUUUUGUAGAAUGAACCGGCGAGUUACGAUUGCAUGCGAGGUUAAGUCGAAGAGACGGAGCCGCAGCGAAAGCGAGUCUGAAUAGGGCGUUUGAGUAUGUAGUCGUAGACCCGAAACCAUGUGAUCUACCCAUGUCCAGGUUGAAGGUGCGGUAAAACGCACUGGAGGACCGAACCCACGUACGUUGAAAAGUGCGGGGAUGAGGUGUGGGUAGCGGAGAAAUUCCAAACGAACUUGGAGAUAGCUGGUUCUCUCCGAAAUAGCUUUAGGGCUAGCCUCGGAUUUGAGAAUGAUGGAGGUAGAGCACUGUUUGGACUAGGGGCCCAUCUCGGGUUACCGAAUUCAGAUAAACUCCGAAUGCCAUUCAUUCAUAUCCGGGAGUCAGACUGUGAGUGAUAAGAUCCAUAGUCGAAAGGGAAACAGCCCAGACCACCAGCUAAGGUCCCAAAAUAUAUGUUAAGUGGAAAAGGAUGUGGGGUUGCACAGACAACUAGGAUGUUGGCUCAGAAGCAGCCACCAUUUAAAGAGUGCGUAAUAGCUCACUAGUCGAGUGACCCUGCGCCGAAAAUGUACCGGGGCUAAACAUAUUACCGAAGCUGUGGAGUACACCAUGAGGUGUAUUGGUAGGAGAGCGUUCUAAGGGCGUUGAAGGCAGAUCGUGAGGACUGCUGGAGCGCUUAGAAGUGAGAAUGCCGGUAUGAGUAGCGAAAGACAGGUGAGAAUCCUGUCCACCGAAUGACUAAGGUUUCCUGGGGAAGGCUCGUCCGCCCAGGGUUAGUCGGGACCUAAGCCGAGGCCGACAGGCGUAGGCGAUGGACAACAGGUUGAUAUUCCUGUACUCGUUGUUUUUGUUUGAGCAAUGGAGGGACGCAGGAGGCUAAGGAAUGCAGACGAUUGGAAAUGUCUGUCCAAGCAGUAAGUCUUGAUAGGAGUCAAAUGCUUCUGUCUACACGGAUAAGCUGUGAUGGGGAGGGAAAUAAUAGUACCGAAGUUCCUGAUGUCACACUGCCAAGAAAAGCUUCUAGUGAGAAAACAAUGACCCGUACCGCAAACCGACACAGGUAGU
rnacentral:rRNA from 1 species